AUUGACCUCGGAUCAGGUAGGGAUACCCGCUGAACUUAAGCAUAUCAAUAAGCGGAGGAAAAGAAACCAACAGGGAUUGCCCCAGUAACGGCGAGUGAAGCGGCAAUAGCUCAGAUUUGAAAUCUGGCCCCGUCGGGGUCCGAGUUGUAAUCUGCAGAGAGUGCUUCGGGCGAGACCGCGGUCUAAGUCCCUUGGAACAUGGCCUCAGAGAGGGUGAGAAUCCCGUAUGCGACCGUGGCUCGAGCCCGUGUGAAGCCUCUUCGAAGAGUCGAGUUGUUUGGGAAUGCAGCUCAAAGUGGGUGGUAAAUUUCAUCUAAAGCUAAAUACUGGCUGGAGACCGAUAGCGCACAAGUAGAGUGAUCGAAAGAUGAAAAGCACUUUGGAAAGAGAGUCAAAAAGUACGUGAAAUUGUUGAAA
rnacentral:rRNA from 1 species